GCCCACAUCUGCACACACUCCCCUCCAGAACUGCGUUCUCCCCUCGCUCGGGCCCCGGCACACGUGUGCAUGCACGCAGGCCCGCGCACGAGCCCCAUCGACAGACACCCAAAGACUGGCGGGAGAUCCGGAGCAGGAGGCGGCCUGGCCACAAAAUCCGGGCAGCCACCGCCUCGGGACGAUCCCGCCAGCCUGGGCUGCGGCCAGAGGCAUCACUUAAACACAUUGGAAUAUAAAACAAAGGACACGGGUUGGGGGACUUGGCAGGCAUUUUGUAACUCUGAGCCACAGCUUCCUAAUCUGCAAAAUGAAAACCGUGAGAUCUACUUUAUAGGCUAAGGUGAGUGUCAAACAAAAUUAGCGUGGAAAUUGCUUAUAAACUGUAAAAAGCCCUGUAGAGUGUCAGCUGACUGUCACUUUCUGAAUAUCCUGACCUUGCCCUUUUCUUCUGCACCCCAAGGGUUGUGUGCAGAACCUAUGGAGAGAGGUGGCUAGCAAGCCCUUGUUUGAUGACAGGAAGUAAUCAGUACAAUGUGGCUGUCCUGGGAGCCCCCACAUGUUUAUUAGGCUGUGGUGUAAGAGAGGAGAAACGGUAUUGAGGUUGGAAGGAACAGUCUGUCCUUAUGUGGGCUUCCUGGGCAGAGUUAACAAAGAAAAGUAGCUUAGAGGAGCCCGGGAAGGAGGUUUCAUACUUGCACACACAGCACGCCAGGUACGCACAGGCUCCACGGGCACAUGUUCCUCUUCCACCCCACCCCAGACACAGAUUACAGUUUCUGGCUUCCUGGGAAGGCAAGGUGAAAGGUCAGCUCCCCAAACCUCAGCUUCUUAAUGUGGCCACACCUGCUAUUUACAAAACUUUCCUUCCCUGGAAGAGCUCCUUCCCACCUCAGACCAGGGAAAUGUGGCUCCAGCAGGCACCCUACAGACAGAGAAACAGGGAGGUGUGGCACCUUUCCCAAGACACACAGCGAUGCUCUCCCCAACCCUUUCAGGCCCAGUAAUAGACAUUGUCUCCCCCAGGAAGGCCCCUGGACUGCUUUUACAGCCUCUCUCCCCUCUCUACUUCCUCCCAACAGAGGAACAGCUGGUGGGCCAGGCAGGAAGCUCCUACCUGGAGCAUGGCCAUGUGCCAGUCACUUGAUAAACAUUAUGUCGAUUAAUUCAUACAACCAUAUGUGGCAGGUGU